AGACGGAGGGGGCUAGCGUUGUUCGGAAUUACUGGGCGUAAAGGGCGCGUAGGCGGAUUAGUAAGUUGGAAGUGAAAGCCCGGGGCUCAACCUCGGAACUGCUUUCAAAACUGCUAGUCUUGAGUGAAGUAGGGGGUGAUGGAAUUCCUAGUGUAGAGGUGAAAUUCUUAGAUAUUAGGAGGAACACCGGUGGCGAAGGCGGUCACCUGGACUUCAACUGACGCUGAGGCGCGAAAGCGUGGGGAGCAAACAGGAUUAGAAACCCCAGUAGUCC
rnacentral:rRNA from 1 species